ensembl:snRNA U6 U6 spliceosomal RNA
GUGCUCACUUCGGCAGCACAUAUACUAAAAUUGGAACAACACAGAGAAGAUGAGCACGGCUCCUGUGCAAGGAUGCCACGCAAAUUCGUGAAGCAUUCCAUAUUUUU